CCUACGGGUGGCUGCAGUGAGGAAUAUUGGUCAAUGGUCGGGAGACUGAACCAGCCAAGCCGCGUGAGGGAGGAAGGUACAGAGUAUCGUAAACCUCUUUUGUCAGGGAACAAAGGCGGGGACGUGUCCCCGGAUGAGUGUACCUGAAGAAAAAGGAUCGGCUAACUCCGUGCCAGCAGCCGCGGUAAUACGGAGGAUGCGAGCGUUAUACGGAUUUAUUGGGUUUAAAGGGUGCGCAGGCUGUCUGUUAAGUCAGAGGGCCAAAGCCGGGGCUUAACCCCGGGCCCGCCUCUGAAACUGGCCGUCUCGAGUUGGCGAGCAGUAUGCGGAAUGCGUGGUGUAGCGGUGAAAUGCAUAGAUAUCGCGCAGAACUCCGAUUGCGAAGGCAGCAUGCCGGCUCCACACUGACGCUGAGGCACGAAAGCGUGGGUAUCGAACAGGAUUAGAUACCCCAGUAGUC
rnacentral:rRNA from 1 species